AAUCAACGCUGGCGGCGUGCCUCAGACAUGCAAGUCGAACGAUUAAAGCUCUCUUCGGAGAGUGUAUAGAGUGGCGCACGGGUGAGUAACACGUAAGUAAUCUACCCUCGAGUGGGGAAUAACAACCGGAAACGGUUGCUAAUACCGCAUAAUGCAGCGGCACCGCAAGGUGACAGUUGUUAAAGAUUUAUCGCUUGAGGAGGAGCUUGCGGCAGAUUAGCUAGUUGGUAGGGUAACGGCUUACCAAGGCUACGAUCUGUAACCGGUCUAAGAGGACGGUCGGUCACACUGACACUGAAUAACGGGUCAGACUCCUACGGGAGGCAGCAGUCGGGAAUUUUGGGGCAAUGGGCGAAAGCCUGACCCAGCAACGCCGCGUGAAGGAUGAAGUAUUUCGGUAUGUAAACUUCGAAAGAAUAGGAAGAAUUAAUGACGGUACUAUUUAUAAGGUCCGGCUAACUACGUG
rnacentral:rRNA from 1 species